rnacentral:sRNA from 1 species
ACAUCUUGAGACUUUUGGUCCAGGCCAAUGGAGCACCAGAACUGUAAAAGGAAUGAAGCCAGUGAGAACUCUGGAGACAAGCAACACCCAUGUCUCCUGGGGUUUUACAAAAGUCACUCAGGCUAGUUGUCUUCUGUCCCAGAAGCUAACACCCCAUUACAGACACUCCAUACAUGUCUGGAAGCUAGCCAACCUCCUCCAGUGUUCUCAGACACAUUUGUUUCUACAGCAGCUCUUUUCUCAGGCUAUGGUCCACUCACCAGUGAGUGGCUUACCCCUGCCUUGUACUUUCAUAGCCCUUGGGCACUCGUCCCUGUGUUCAGCAACCCCAUGGCAUGGGAGACACAGUUUCUGAGACACCCAUCUUAUCAGGACUCAUUGAAUUGCAAAGAAAAGAAACUCCCUCCCAAACUAGCUUGAUCGGUAGUGUGUUUAACUGAAGGACUACGGGAUCCUCUGGGAAGCACUGAACAGGAAGGAAAACUUCCUUCCUUCCUACCACCGUCACGGGAUCUGGAAGGAUGCUCCAGGUUUUCCCUCCUUAGCUCCCAUUUCUGAGUGAUACCUUUGUUCCCAAGACCCCAUCCAAAUUCUGUGGUUCCAGCUCAUCCAUCCAUCAUUCAGGCCUUCCACAGUCUUCCUGGGGUUAGGCCGGCUGGCUCAGACUCUUGGGUGCUUCCCUCCUCAACCUUACAACUCACCAGCUCAUCUUCAUGUGCGAGUUGAUUUGAAGGAGGAACUGAGCAGGUCAGGGCUAAUCCCGCUCUAAUCCAGGCCACUCCUGGUCUAAUCAACAGAAACAGGGGUCUGUUCCAGGGACUCCAAGUCCUAGCUGAAUGAUCAAGUUGUGCAUGGGGUGGGGGAGCCACAGAUGCAACUUCAUUCACACAGCCACAGCAGCCAGACCCUAGGUCUCUAAAAUUUCACUUAGCCUCCGAGAAACACCUUAACAGAAAAUGAGAGUAAGUCCUAUUUCCCGAAGGGAAAUAAUAAGCCCCAGGAAAGUAGCCUGAGGCAUGUCGGGAGGAAAAUAGCCCGAGGCAUGUCGGGAAUGCACCUGGGUCGCCUUGGAAGUGAACCGCCACAUUUCACUCUAUCCUGGGUGGACAAGUGUUAGUUACUUCCAGAAACUGGAGAGCAGAUGCUUGGAAAGUGAAGACGACAUGUUCACGGUGCCAAGUCACACGAGGUUGGGACUUUUGUAAAAGUACAUUUCCAACGUAGACGUAAAGCCUAGGAACCACUUCAAUCAAAGCUGUGGGUUAACACACUGCAUCCUUCUACCAAGGGCUAAUUCUCAUCCACUGUUCUACCCACCACCACAGAGUGCCUGAUACAGGGCCUACCUAGUGAAAACACCAUUAUGUGUGGACUUAAAGUAAGCUUUGAUGCACUCCAGGGACUUCAGUGGCUGGAGAUGUGUUGUCUGAAACAUACUUUAAAUGGAAGGAUGCAGCUUAAAAGUAAACAGACAAGAAAAGAUGAUCCGUAAAACCAGUAAUGGUGUCUGUGUCAAGCGAGCAGUCCUUUUACUAGAAACAAAUGGGGCCCAAUGUAAUGAUGAAAGAAUCAAUUCAUCAGAAAGCCUUCACCGUCAUGAGUACCUGUGCAUCUAAGACAGAGCUUCAGAUGAUACAAGUAAUAUAAUACAAGCUAAAAAUAGACACAAACAAAUCUACAAACAUGGCUAGAUUGAUAUAUUUUUUUCAGUAAUGGAUGAAACAAGUAACCAAAGAGUCAUGAAAUAGACAAACACCCAAACCCUGUGUCGACGCCAUCAACUGUAGACACAUCUACUUAGAUCUAAUUGAGAUUCAUCCAGAGAAAACAAUAUUUGUCAUCUCUGGAUUAAAUUAUUUGUGGAAUAUAAAUAAAAGGAGGCUGGGGUGUAGCUCGGUGGAGUUUUUAAUCUAGUAUGUUGCAGAACCCGAGUACCUCCAGUACCAAAAAUAAACCCACCCAAAAUUACAAGAAGAGUCACCAAAGUAGCCCAUAUAAUUGGGACAUAAAACAAAAACUGGUAAAUCUCAAAUACUAAAACCAUACAGCAAAUUCUCUGACCACCAUGGAUUAAAAUAGAAAUUGCUAACAAAAUAAAGCCCCGAAGAAUUCAUAUUAAGCAACAUCCAUGUUAAUACAAAUCAAUAAGGCCCAGCAAGAUGGCUCAUCAGGUUAAAGAGACAUGGCACCGAGCCUGAAGAUCUGAAUUAGAUCCCCGCAGAUCCACAGAGGA